rnacentral:rRNA from 1 species
UACGUAGGGGGCAAGCGUUGUCCGGAUUAUUGGGCGUAAAGAGCGUGUAGGCGGCCAGGUAGGUCCGUUGUGAAAACUCGAGGCUCAACCUCGAAGACGUCGGCGGAAACCCUCUGGCUAGAGUCCGGAAGAGGAGAGUGGAAUUCCUGGUGUAGCGGUGAAAUGCGCAGAUAUCAGGAAGAACACCCGUGGCGAAGCGGCUCUCUGGGAGCGGUACUGACGCU